rnacentral:rRNA from 1 species
AGUGAACGCUGGCGGUAGGCCUAACACAUGCAAGUCGAACGGCAGCACAGUAAGAGCUUGCUCUUACGGGUGGCGAGUGGCGGACGGGUGAGGAAUACAUCGGAAUCUACUUUUUCGUGGGGGAUAACGUAGGGAAACUUACGCUAAUACCGCAUACGACCUACGGGUGAAAGCAGGGGAUCUUCGGACCUUGCGCGAUUGAAUGAGCCGAUGUCGGAUUAGCUAGUUGGCGGGGUAAAGGCCCACCAAGGCGACGAUCCGUAGCUGGUCUGAGAGGAUGAUCAGCCACACUGGAACUGAGACACGGUCCAGACUCCUACGGGAGGCAGAAGUGGGGAAUAUUGGACAAGGGGCGCAAGCCUGAUCCAGCCAUACCGCGUGGGUGAAGAAGGCCUUCGGGUUGUAAAGCCCUUUUGUUGGGAAAGAAAAGCAGCAGGUUAAUACCCCGCUGUUCUGACGGUACCCAAAGAAUAAGCACCGGCUAACUUCGUG